rnacentral:rRNA from 1 species
AUACGUAGGGGGCGAGCGUUGUCCGGAAUGAUUGGGCGUAAAGGGCGCGUAGGCGGCCCGGUAAGUCUGGAGUGAAAGUCCUGCUUUUAAGGUGGGAAUUGCUUUGGAUACUGUCGGGCUUGAGUGCAGGAGAGGUAAGUGGAAUUCCCAGUGUAGCGGUGAAAUGCGUAGAGAUUGGGAGGAACACCAGUGGCGAAGGCGACUUACUGGACUGUAACUGACGCUGAGGCGCGAAAGUGUGGGGAGCAAACAGGAUUAGAUACCCUGGUAGUCCACACUGUAAACGAUGAAUGCUAGGAGUAGGGGGUAUCGACCCCUUCUGUGCCGCAGUUAACACAAUAAGCAUUCCGCCUGGGGAGUACGGCCGCAAGGUUGAAACUCAAAGGAAUUGACGGGG